GUCCACACGGUAACGAUGAAUACUCGCUGUUGCGAUAUACUGCAAGCGGCCAAGCGAAGCGUUAAGUAUUCCACCUGGGAGUACGCCGGCAACGGUGAACUCAAAGGAAUUGACGGGGCCCGCACAAGCGGAGGAACAUGUGGUUUAAUUCGAUGAUACGCGAGGAACCUUACCCGGGCUUAAAUUGCAGAUGAAUUACGGUGAAAGCCGUAAGCCGCAAGGCAUCUGUGAAGGUGCUGCAUGGUUGUCGU
rnacentral:rRNA from 1 species